rnacentral:lncRNA from 1 species
AUUCCCAAGACUGCAUUCUUAUACACUCAGCUAGCCAUAUGUACAGUACUCUGUAUAGCUUCUCCCUCUUUAUCCAAGACCUCAUCUGACUGAUGGCUUAGAUGCUAGGCUUUUAGGGAGGGAAAUUAUUAUCCUGUGCUCCUAACAGCACCUUCACGAUCUCUGUAACCAGCAAAAUGGUGGGAUACACUGUAUAGUCUGUCCCACUGGAAAGCUUAUUGUCAGAGAGAUUGAUACAUCCCUUCUCCACCUAGUGAUUACGCUGGAUAAACCUAAACAUUUUUAAACCUACUGUAAAAAGAAAUACAGUCAGUGUAAACUGAAUGGUAUUUAUUUUCUGUUAGUACAACCCUAAGUAUCUCAAGUGUUCUAGUAUCCUAAGAACUUGUGAUUAUAUUGACUAUUGAGUAAUGAGCAAACAAGCUCAGUUAACACAGGUGCUAAUAAAGAAAUACUCUUUGUAAGAAGGCACUUGUUUAAGUUAAAUGAGUAUGUAAUUCAAGACUUGAUAUUAUGGGGAAAUUAUUCAAAAGGUCACAAGUUCAAGCACGCACUGAACAAUGGAAAAUAUGAAAAGUGAUUGUAUGUUGAAGCAGUGGGGAGAGGUCAUCUGUUGUAACACACUCUCAGUUGUGGAUGAGCCUGAUGCAGUGCUUGUAACAAAAGGUGGAAGGAGGAGAGAGAACCAAAUGUGGGCAACCCCCUCAAUCAGA